AGGCGGGGCCAGGAGUGCCAAACGCCUGGCGGAAGAAGCGGUUCUUCCUUUUCCACGCGGCCACCGAAGGAUGAGGGUUUGUGGCGCACCAUCGGCCAAGCGGGCCGGACGGCAGCGUCUGCGGGCCAGUCGCUGGGCUCUUCGAGGUGCAUCAAAGCCUAUGAGGUGAAGAUGAAUGAAAGGCAUCCUGACGUUUUCCAGAAACUGCUCACAGGAUGGCUGUGAUAAAAUCACUAGGAGCACAACUGCAUGUAAUGAGGUAGCUGCAGAUGAAUAUUCAAGUCCAAAACUAUCAUGGUUGAAAUUCAUUACCUCAAAGGCAUGCAAUUGGAAGGAAAAAUGAAUUGGUCAAGAAGACAGGAAUUGGAACAGAUGAUGAAAAUUAGUAUUUUAUUUAACAUAGAUCACCUCACAAUAAGUUUAAUGCAGAAAAAUACAUGUUUGAGUACUUGUAAUUGCUGGACAAUAAAGUCUAUUAUCUUUAAAAUAUA